UUCCAUAUAGUGUAGUGGUUUAGCAUUCCAGAUUUUCAACUUCAAAACGUUCUGGCGACCCGGGUUCGAACCCCGGUAUGGAAG